rnacentral:rRNA from 1 species
UACGUAGGUGGCAAGCGUUUGUCCGGAAUUAUUUGGGCGUAAAGCGCGCGUAGGCGGCUCGGAAAGUCGGUCGUGAAAUGCCGGGGCUCAACCCCGGGACUGCGUCCGAUACUCCCGAGCUGGAGGCAGGUAGGGGAGAUCGGAAUUCCUGGUGUAGCGGUGAAAUGCGCAGAUAUCAGGAGGAACACCGGUGGCGAAGGCGGAUCUCUGGGCCUUACCUGACGCUGAGGCGCGAAAGCUAGGGGGGCGAACAGG